rnacentral:rRNA from 1 species
UUCACGGAGAGUUUGAUCCUGGCUCAGGACGAACGCUGGCGGCGUGCUUAACACAUGCAAGUCGAACGAUGAACCACUUCGGUGGGGAU